rnacentral:rRNA from 1 species
GACGAACCGUGCAAACGUUAUUCGGAAUCACUGGGCUUAAAGGGCGCGUAGACGGGCGAUUGCGUCGAGUGCUGAAAGCCCCCGGCUCAACCGGGGAACGGGCCUCGAAACGGGUUGUCUCGAGUGGAGGAGGGGGACCCGGAACGUCCGGUGGAGCGGUGAAAUGCGUUGAGAUCGGACGGAACGCCGACGGCGAAAGCAGGGUCCUGGACUCCGACUGACGUUGAGGCGCGAAAGCCAGGGGAGCGAACGGG